UACGUAGGGGGCAAGCGUUGUCCGGAUUUAUUGGGCGUAAAGCGCACGCAGGCGGUGCGGUAAGUUUCGCGUGACAGGUGGUGGCUUAACUGCCACAGGCCUUGGAAAACUGCCGCACUUGAGGGCUUGAGAGGGACGCGGAAUUCCAGGUGGAGCGGUGAAAUGCGUAGAUAUCGAGAGGAACACCUGCGGCGAAGGCGGGUUGCUGGGCUGACACUGACGCUGAUGCGCGAAAGCCAGGGGAGCGAACGGG
rnacentral:rRNA from 1 species